UGGCUGCCCAAGAUAUUUUUGCGCUGCUCCACCCCCCGCAGCCUGACGUUCAGUGGCAAGCGCAGCAGCCACGGGAAGAUGGCGAGCAGAACCAUGUUGAUGGCUUUGAGUAGAGCAAGCAGAGCCCAGGCCUGCGGGCUGAGACCUUUGGCAAUCAGGGGUCUUGCAUCAUCCAGUCAGAAAUCCAGAGAAGAUAGCUGGUUGAGAUCCCUCUUUGUGCGUAAAGUCGAUCCACGAAAAGAUGCUCAUUCAAACCUGCUGGCCAAAAAGGAGAUCAGUAACUUGUACAAAAUUCAAUUUCACAAUGUGAAGCCAGAGUGCCUGGAAUCUUACAAUAAGCUCUGUGAAGAGUUGCUGCCAAAGAUUCAUGCAGAUGAAGACUAUCCAUGUACUCUGGUUGGAACCUGGAACACAUGGUAUGGGGAGCAAGAUCAGGCUGUUCACCUGUGGAAGUAUGAAGGAGGAUAUCCAGCCCUGACUGAGGUCAUGAAUAAACUAAGGAAAAACAAGGAAUUCACAGAGUUCAGAAAGGCACGGGGCAACAUGCUUCUCUCCCGUAAAAACCAGCUUCUUCUAGAGUUCAGUUUCUGGAAUGAGCCUGUCCCUAGGAAAGGGCCUAAUAUUUAUGAACUAAGAUCCUACCAACUGAGGCCUGGAACCAUGAUCGAAUGGGGAAAUCACUGGGCCCGUGCUAUUAGAUAUCGGCAAGAUGGCGAUGAAGCAGUUGCUGGUUUCUUCUCACAGAUCGGUCACUUAUACAUGGUUCACCAUUUGUGGGCAUAUCAAGACUUGCAGACUAGAGAUGACAUCAGAAAUUCUGCAUGGCAGAAAGAUGGCUGGGAUGAAUGUGUUUACUAUACAGUGCCCCUCAUCCAGGAGAUGGACUCAAGAAUAAUGAUCCCCCUGAAAAGCUCACCCCUUCAGUAACAGACACAGUGCCUCCCUCCAUAGUAAAGAGUGGCAACCUUUCUUUGUAAGAAGACCUAAGUGAAUGGACAGUAUCAUGAUAUCCAGACAAAAGUGUGUUUCAGUAAAUCAUUAGUAUAUAAUUCUGAUCUUUAAUAAUGCUAGAGGCAUGGCAAGUUUCCAGACCAUUUUUCUUAUCCCUGUCCUAAAGCUACAUAGGACCUUUUCAUAACCCAUUAAGUGAUGCAUUAGUAAGUUAAUACACUUUACCUGUUAUGGGGAGGAGGGUUAAUUCCACUUCUGUUACCAAUGCUAAGGGGUCAGAGUUAUGUAAUAAAAGGUGCAAAUAUUGCAUAGCUCUAGUAACCCAAAGCAUAUAAUCUGAUGGUUUUUGUUUUGUUUUUUUUCAAACAUUUAACCUCCCAAUGCUGCCUACUAAUUGGUUUAUUUGGUUUAGUAGCCUAGUAGUAAACUGUGGACAGUUUAUUAAGUCAUCCCCUAGAGUUUUAUGUGUCAAAGCACCAUGAGGAUCUCCUCCUGUUACCAUGGGCAAAAAAUAUUAGUCUGUUUCUGGUGUUUUAGGGAUUAAAAUUAUCUUUACAUGUGUGUUAAUACACUUUACCUUUUAUGGGGAGGAGGGUUAAUUCCACUUCUGCUAAUUCCACCAAUGCUAAGGGUCAGAGUUAUGUAAUAAAAGGUGCAAAUAUUGCAUAGCUCUAGUAACCCACAGCAUAUAAUCUGAUGGGUUUUUAAUCUGGGGUUUUUUUUUCCAAACAUUUGACCUCUACAUGCGAAGCCAAAUGCUAGUAAAAAAGAUCUGAUAACAUGCACUCCUCAUAUUAUAACCUGCUCACUACUAAUCAGUUCAAAGGAGAAGUACUGGUAAUGGUGAAUUGUAAAGGCUAUUUUGAAGAUUCGAAACCUUCCUAUUGCGUUUAUUAGAAAAAGACUGAUCAGCUGUACAUAUAUGAAAAUUGCUGAGUGAGGUUAAAGGAGAGCUAAAUCCCCUCGCUAAUAAAUUGGAAUUACUGGCCCAUCCAAAAAACAUGCUCUCUAAAUAACCGAUAAACCACAAAUAAUGAAAAAAUUAAAACCAUAUGGCAAUUGUCUCAGAAUAUCAUUCUCUAUAUCAUAAUUAAAAGCUAACCCAAAGGUGAACAACCCCUUCAGUUGGUGGAGAGGCCUAAACUUUUGCAGCAAAAAACAUGCAUGUUACAUCAAUUUUAUUCUGUAACAUUUCCAACCUGUAUUUAGAUGUUUUCAUGAAAUUUUAAAUCAGUGAAUUUAAAUGUAAAGUAGUUUGGUGACUUGAAGCACCAGGUUUUUUAUUUUAGUUUGAUAAGCAGUGAUCUAUCAAAGGUGCCUGGAACCUCUGGCUGUCAGCUUUAACUCCUAGUAUCCAUGGAAGGAAAGUCUUCAGGAUUUUGGGAGCUGCAGUUCAUAAACAGCUGGAAAACCACAUGUUGCAUCAUUCUAUACAAUGUAAAAUGGUUUAGAAAUAACACUAAGGGGCCUAUUUAUAAAGGUAAAAAUUACCAAAAAGGAUGUACAAUAACUGGAGCAUUUAUGAAGUUGCUGUCCUUAUGCAUGGAUUUAUUUAUACAGUAAUGCAUUGCAAUUGCAAUUGCAAAAAAUAUCCAUUGCAAAGAGGUAGUUAUGAAAGUGUGAAAUUAUUUUUUUUUACACUUAACGCUGAAAUGUACACCAUCAUUUCAUACCACAGAAACAGCAAUAUACUCCCAUUUUUUUCAACAACACUUUUUUCACACUAACUUAUUUUACAGCCCAUUACACAUGCAUUAAAAUUAAUCCAACGGUUUCAUAACUAAAUCUUAUUUUGAUUGGUGAACUGUGGUGUUAAAGUAGUGAUGCUUGGUUUAUUUCAAUGCAAUUUUUAAUACACAGCUUUAUAUAUAAUAUAAGCCCCUAAGUAAACGAAUUUUUGUAUUUAUUAGGGAUGCACCGAAUCCACUAUUUUGGAUUCGGCCGAACCCCCGAAUCCUUCUCGAAAGAUUCGGCCGAAUACUGAACCGAAUCCUAAUUUGUAAUAAUGAUUUAUAAAUGUGUUCCUUCUGUAGCUAAAAGGACACUAAAAAAACUGGGUUAAUAUAGAAAAUAAGGUAUAAAGUACUCUCUAUUUCAGAAUAUAUGGAUUUGGGAAUUUUCUGAAAAGUUUCAUGACAAUAUAAAGGCAACAGGCUAUAUACUUAAAUUUUUUUUAUAAAGAUAAAAGUUUCAAUAAAUCAUGUAUAGUGUAAUAAAUACAAGCUUAAAGUCUAAAAUGUUACGGUCACUAUUAAUGCUGUUACAUACAUUUGAUUUGCAUCUACUAGGCCUCCUCAAAAUAGUGGUUACCCACUUUCCCUCUAAGUCUAAGGCUUUUGGUUAACUUGCUAGUGGUAAUGAUAUAAAAAAUUUAGGACACAAUUAAAAAGAUCCAGGUAGAAGGGCAUCGGUGAUCAUUUAAAUGCAGCCCAGCCACUUGUAUUAUUUUAAGAAGUAUCACUGAUUUUUUAAGAGAUCUGUACUCAUUUUAAUGUGAUCAAGCAGUGGCAUAACUACCAGGGGAGCAGGGGGUGCGAUUGGGCCAGGGCUCGCACCCCCUCAGGGCCCCCGGCAGCUCGUGCGCCACUGACUCCCACUGAUUCUGGGACUCCGGCGGCAGAAAAAAUGGCGUACGGAGGGGGGGGCAGGGGGCCCGCCCCCCUCUAGUUACCUUACUGUGAUCACGUAAAUGUCUGUGGUUUAAUGUUACCAGAUCACUUGAAAAAUUAGGGACACGUGUUCAGAAGAACACAUCUAGCCCUCCAUGUCUUCAAAAAGCUCAAGCCAAAAUAAUCCAGCCAGUGUCUGUGAAUUGGUGGCCUCUGUGCACUGGGUGCAUUCGGUAUGGUGGUAGCAAUAGAAUGGGUUUCAUAUAUCCUCACUGGUGCUUUGAUAUUAAAAUGACUAGUAUAAUCAGGUCCAGUGUUUCAUUUCUAAAACAGAAUUGUUUGAGAUUAUUUAAAUCCUGUGUUCGAUAUAGAUUUAUACCAGAUAAGCUUAGGAGACUUCAUAAUCACUGAUUUGAAGAUAAGGCAAAACCAACUUUCACACUCCUACUUUACCAGUAAAGCUGUGUUUGGGGGGGUUAAACCAUUUGCACUUUAGCUUUUACUGGAAAUAGGGGUAAUAUUGUAUGUUAUUACGAAGUUAAAUGUUAAAAAAAGAUAAGGUUGUAUCUAUUUUCACUCCCAAACGUAAAAAGGAAAAAAGCUAAUGUUUCUAUGCUGUUACAAAAUGAAAGGUCAUCUUGUGAUAAGAAUAUUUGGUUCUCUGUUAAACAAUAUUAAUAAACAUUUUAUUUGAA